GGCGGCUGUGGGGAUAAAGCGCGUGCAUCGCAUAGGGCGCCGGUUCGAACCCGGUCAGCAGCCG
rnacentral:tRNA from 1 species